rnacentral:rRNA from 1 species
UACGGAAGGCAGCAGUGGGGAAUAUUGCACAAUGGGCGAAAGCCUGAUGCAGCUAUGCCGCGUGUAUGAAGAAGGCCUUAGGGUUGUAAAGUACUUUCAUCGGGGAGGAAAAAACAAAACUAAUAAUUUUAUUUCUUGACGUUACCCGAAAAAGAAGCACCGGCUAACUCCGUGCCAGCAGCCGCGGUAAUACGGAGGGUGCUAGCGUUAAUCAGAAUUACUGGGCGUAAAGAGCACGUAGGUGGUUUUUUUAAGUCAGAUGUGAAAUCCCUGGGCUUAACCUAGGAACUGCAUUUUGAAACUGAAAUACUAGAGUAUCGUAGAGGGAGGUAGAAUUCUAGGUGUAGCGGUGAAAUGCGUAGAUAUCUGGAGGAAUACCUGUGGCUAAAGCGGCCUCCUAAACGAAUACUGACACUGAGGUGCGAAAGCGUGGGGAGCAAACAGGGAUUAGAUACC